rnacentral:rRNA from 1 species
UACGUAGGGGGCUAGCGUUGUCCGGAAUCAUUGGGCGUAAAGCGCGUGUAGGCGGUCCGGUAAGUCCGCUGUGAAAGUCGGGGGCUCAACCCUCGAAUGCCGGUGGAUACUGUCGGGCUAGAGUGCGGAAGAGGCGAGUGGAAUUCCUGGUGUAGCGGUGAAAUGCGCAGAUAUCAGGAGGAACACCAAUUGCGAAGGCAGCUCGCUGGGACGUUACUGACGCUGAGGCACGAAAGCGUGGGGAUCAAACAGG